AGAGUUUGAUCCUGGCUCAGAACGAACGCUGGCGGCGUGGAUAAGACAUGCAAGUCGAGCGCUAAUUUCAGGGUAGCAAUAUUCUGGAGUUGGAGCGGCGCAAGGGUGCGUAACACGUGGGUAAUCUGCCAUGAAGUUCGGGAUAACUUGCUGAAAGGCGAGCUAAUACCGGAUGUGACAACCGAGAGGCAUCUCUUGGUUGUUAAAGUUGGGGACCGUAAGGCCUGACGCUUCUUGAUGAACCCGCGGCCUAUCAGCUAGUUGGUGAGGUAACGGCUCACCAAGGCUAAGACGGGUAGCUGGUCUGAGAGGACGACCAGCCACACUGGAACUGAGACACGGUCCAGACACCUACGGGUGGCAGUAGUCGAGAAUUUUUCACAAUGGGCGCAAGCCUGAUGGAGCGACGCCGCGUGGGGGAUGAAUGGCUUCGGCCCGUAAACCCCUGUCAUUCGCGAUCAAACCUCAUUAUUUAAAAGAUGAUGAGCUGAUAGUAGCGGAAGAGGAAGGGACGGCUAACUCUGUGCCAGCAGCCGCGGUAAUACAGAGGUCCCAAGCGUUGUUCGGAUUCACUGGGCGUAAAGGGUGCGUAGGUGGUGAGGUAAGUCGGAUGUGAAAGCUCGGAGCUCAACUCCGAAAUGGCAUUGGAAACUACCUUGCUCGAGGGUUGGAGGGGGGACUGGAAUACUUGGUGUAGCAGUGAAAUGCGUAGAUAUCAAGUGGAACACCAGUGGCGAAGGCGAGUCCCUGGACAACUCCUGACACUGAGGCACGAAAGCUAGGGGAGCAAACAGGAUUAGAUACCCUAGUAGUCC
rnacentral:rRNA from 1 species